rnacentral:rRNA from 1 species
UACGUAGGGGGCGAGCGUUGUCCGGAUUUAUUGGGCGUAAAGAGCUCGUAGGCGGUUUGGCAAGUCGGGUGUGAAACCUCCAGGCUCAACCUGGAGUCGCCACCCGAUACUGCUAGGACUUGAGUCUGGUAGGGGAUCACGGAAUUCCUGGUGUAGCGGUGAAAUGCACAGAUAUCAGGAGGAACACCAGUGGCGAAGGCGGUGAUCUGGGCCAGUACUGACGCUCAAGAGCGAAAGCGUGGGGAGCGAACAGG